rnacentral:rRNA from 1 species
GACGAACGCUGGCGGCGUGCCUAAUACAUGCAAGUUGAGCGAUGAAGAUUGGUGCUUGCACCAAUUUGAAGAGCAGCGAACGGGUGAGUAACGCGUGGGGAAUCUGCCUUUGAGCGGGGGACAACAUUUGGAAACGAAUGCUAAUACCGCAUAACAACUUUAAACAUAAGUUUUAAGUUUGAAAGAUGCAAUUGCAUCACUCAAAGAUGAUCCCGCGUUGUAUUAGCUAGUUGGUGAGGUAAAGGCUCACCAAGGCGAUGAUACAUAGCCGACCUGAGAGGGUGAUCGGCCACAUUGGGACUGAGACACGGCCCAAACUCCUACGGGAGGCAGCAGUAGGGAAUCUUCGGCAAUGGACGAAAGUCUGACCGAGCAACGCCGCGUGAGUGAAGAAGGUUUUCGGAUCGUAAAACUCUGUUGGUAGCGAAGAACGUUGGUGAGAGUGGAAAGCUCAUCAAGUGACGGUAACUACCCAGAAAGGGACGGCUAACUACGUG